rnacentral:misc_RNA from 1 species
GAUGAAGAACGUAGCGAAAUGCGAUACUUGGUGUGAAUUGCAGAAUCCCGUGAACCAUCGAGUCUUUGAACGCAAGUUGCGCCCGAAGCCAUCAGGUUGAGGGCACGUCUGCCUGGGCGUCACAUAUCGUUGCUCGAUGCCUAUCGCAUUGCGAUAGGACUUAGGGCGAAUGAUGGCUUCCCGUGAGCGUUGUUGCCUCGCGGUUGGUUGAAAAUCGAGUCCUUGGUAGGGUGUGCCAUGAUAGAUGGUGGUCGAGUUAGCACGAGAACGAUCAUGUGCAUGCUCCCCAAAAUAUGGCCUCUGUGACCCACACGCGUCUUUUGACGCUCAUGAUGAGACCUCAGGUCAGGCGGGGCUACCCGCUGAAUUUAAGCAUAUCAAUAAGCGGAGGA